GUGAUGAUCAAGUCUCCAAUCUUUGGUAUCGGCCUUGCAAGUACAGUUAUUUUUCGAUAACUCGAUAAGUCAAACGAUAGCCAGCAGCGAAGCUUAUGUAAUGAGGAUGCUGAUGCAGUUUUUCAGGUGGACUGAGGAACAUAUUUGGAUAUGUGGGAGCAUAGAGUCAGCUUUUUGAAUGGGCUAAAGUUGCUGCAAGGGCCACAAGAGCAUCAUCACAGUCCAGGAGUCACCAGAUGGUGUGGUGAUGAAAAAAGGAACUAUGUUUUAUAAUACAUGUUACCUGAAGCCAAUUGUGUGUAAAUCAAGGAACAUUGUACAAUAGGGACUAACCAAAUGAGGAAGUGCAGCUAUUAAGACAAUGCCUCAUUCUCAGAAGGUUGGUGGUGUUCUCUCCAGCCAUGCUGAUUUCGGUUUUCUGUAAUUUUCCAUAAUCACUUAUAAGAAAUGCUAGGAUGUUUCCUUAAUCGAGGCCAUGACUGACCACCUAUCCUAACCUCAUAGACCAUCUGUCCUGCACUCUGAAAUAUCCUGGGUGUAACAAUUAAGCAGCAAAUACUCAUCUUCAAUUCUCAGCAUUCUCCAAUGCUGUGGUAGCUGUAAAACAGUUUGCAAGUUAUCUGCUCCACCAAGAUGUGCUGCUGCUUGCCGAGUUCUUAUCAGUGUGACUAUUGAUUUCAUAAUGGUAAGAGAAAUUUCAGGGAGACAUGAUAUCCUCUUUCAAAAUCACAUUUAUUGCAUAAUACUAUAACAAAACUGGCUCACAAAAACUGUCGGAAAACUGACACACACAUGGCUGAUUCAUCACUCCUUAUGUAUAUUUUGCCUACACCAUCCACUAUUAGAAACAGAAAAGUUAUGGAUUACAAUCAAAACCUCACUGGGGCACACAGACUGUCAUCAUUCAGUUAUGCAUUAAUUCUUCCCUCUCACUCUGCGACAAAAAGUUUUGCACAGCUUUUAUCUUUUAGUAUUGAAAUUCAUAAAAUAUACUUGCUAACAAUGUUUUUUUUAUAUAUAAAGUUGUUUAUAUUGUGAAAAGUAUUAGUUGGAAAAUGUUCCUAACAUUUCCAUUUGUUUAUUUCACAAAUACAAACAGAAUGUCAAUUUCAUUCCUUACAAAAACUAUCCUGCAAUUACAAAAUGAGACUGGUUUAGUUUUUAUAUCCAAGAAGUAAUUAGUCACAGUCAAACCAGUGCAGAGAUCUACGUAUGCUUUCUAAAGUUGGAAUGAAAUUAAUGACAGAAUAUGAAUCAUUAUAAUAAAUGGAAUUCUAUGUGAAAUAUCCUUGUUACAAAACUUAUAUAAGCAUGUAAAUGUUACAUCCUGAUACCUCAGGCCAACACUUCAUUUCAUAGUACGUUUAAAAUCAUAAAACGUGUUAUGCAUUUCAGAACAAAAUUCAGUUCUCAGUUAAACAAUUAGGAAAUUUAUUUCACUUACUGAUUUUAACAGACUAAUCUGUCAAUUUCAGAAGGCUACAAAAUUUAUGAUGAUAUAAAUUUUUUAAAGAAAACAUGUUGGCCAGCAUUGAAUACUUUGAGCUUUAUGCUCCUAUAUAUGGCUGACUAGGUAGAUGAUGUGUGAUUUUAUGUAUAGCUGUUAUUUUCUCAGCAACUGUGUGUUGUAAAUUUUGACCUGUUGAUUUGCUUUGUAUCACCUUCAAAAUGUGAGAUAAUAAAUAAAUAAAAUGGUGUGUUUGCUUAACA